rnacentral:rRNA from 1 species
GACGAACGCUGGCGGCGUGCUUAACACAUGCCAGUCGAACGGAAAGGCCCUGCUCUUGUGGGGUGCUCGAGUGGCGAACGGGUGAGUAACACGUGAGUAACCUGCCCUUGACUUUGGGAUAACUUCAGGAAACUGGGGCUAAUACCGGAUAGGAGCUCCUGCUGCGUGGUGGGGGUUGGAAAGUUUCGGCGGUUGGGGAUGUACUCGAAGCUUAUCAGCUUGUUGGUGGGGUAGUGGCUUACCAAGGCUUUGACGGAUAGCCGGCCUGAGAGGGUGACCGGCCACAUUGGGACUGAGAUACGGCCCAGACUCCUACGGGAGGCAGCAGUGGGGAAUAUUGCACAAUGGGCGGAAGCCUGAUGCAGCAACGCCGCGUGCGGGAUGACGGCCUUCGGGUUGUAAACCGCUGUCGCCUGAGACGAAGCGUGAGUGACGGUAAUGGGUAAAGAAGCACCGGCUAACUACGUG